UACGUAGGGUGCGAGCGUUGUCCGGAAUUAUUGGGCGUAAAGAGCUCGUAGGCGGUCUGUCGCGUCGGCUGUGAAAACUCGGGGCUCAACCCCGAGCCUGCAGUCGAUACGGGCAAACUAGAGUGUGGUAGGGGAGACUGGAAUUCCUGGUGUAGCGGUGAAAUGCGCAGAUAUCAGGAGGAACACCGGCGGCGAAGGCGGGUCUCUGGGCCAUAACUGACGCUGAGGAGCGAAAGCGUGGGGAGCGAACAGG
rnacentral:rRNA from 1 species